UACGGGGGGGGCAAGCGUUGUUCGGAAUUACUGGGCGUAAAGGGCUCGUAGGCGGCCAACUAAGUCAGACGUGAAAUCCCUCGGCUUAACCGGGGAACUGCGUCUGAUACUGGAUGGCUUGAAUCCGGGAGAGGGAUGCGGAAUUCCAGGUGUAGCGGUGAAAUGCGUAGAUAUCAGGAGGAACACCAGCGGCGAAGGCGGCGCUCUGGGCCGGAACUGACGCUGAGGAGCGAAAGCGUGGGUAGCAAACAGG
rnacentral:rRNA from 1 species